AGCACUGAGGUGUUGAGACAUAGCAGAUUGCAAAUCUGAAGAAGCGGGCUAACGCCCGCCGGUGCUU
rnacentral:tRNA from 1 species